UGAGUCGGCCGAACAACCGCCGCCAUGCUUGCCGUGGGGGAGGAAAGUCCGGGCUCCGCAGGACAGAACGCCAGGUAACGCCUGGGAGGCGCGAGCCUACGGCCAGUGCAACAGAAAGCAAACCGCCGAUGGCCCCGCGCAAGCAGGGAUCAGGUAAGGGUGAAACGGUGCGGUAAGAGCGCACCGCGAGUCCAGCAAUGGACCGGCACGGUAAACCCCGUUCGGAGCAAGGCCAAAUAGGGUGGGACGCAGCGAGUCAUCGCUGCAACGCGUGGUCCGCGCGCUCACCGGGUAGGCUGCUGGAGCCCUGGAGUGAUCCAGGGCCUAGAGGAAUGGUUGUUGCGGGGUCGCAAGGCCCCAGACAGAACCCGGCUUACAGGCCGACUCGUUUU
rnacentral:RNase_P_RNA from 1 species